rnacentral:rRNA from 1 species
CCUACCAAGGCGACGAUGGGUAGCCGGCCUGAGAGGGUGUCCGGCCUCACUGGGACUGAGAUACGGCCCAGACUCCUACGGGAGGCAGCAGUCGAGAAGCUUCGGCAAUGGACGAAAGUCUGACCGAGCGACGCCGCGUGAGCGAUGAAGGCCCCAGUGGUCGUAAAGCUCUGUCAGGAGGGAAUAAAUACCCGCGAUUAAUACCCGCGGGGGCUGAAGGUACCUCCAGAGGAAGCGCCGGCUAACUACGUGCCAGCAGCCGCGGUAAUACGUAGGGCGCAAACGUUGUUCGGAUUUACUGGGUAUAAAGGGUUCGUAGGCGGACUGAUAAGUCAGAGGUGAAAGCCAACGGCUCAACCGUUGAAUUGCCUCUGAUACUGUCAGUCUUGAGUCCGUUAGGGGAUAGUGGAAUUCCUGGUGUAGCGGUGAAAUGCGUAAAUAUCAGGAGGAACACCAGUGGCGAAGGCGGCUAUCUGGGACGGAACUGACGCUGAGGAACGAAAGCAUGGGUAUCAAACGGGAUUAGAUACCCCGGUAGUCCAUGCUGUAAACGAUGGGCACUAGGUGUUGGAGGACUCUACCCCUUCAGUGCCGAAGCUAACGCAUUAAGUGCCCCACCUGGGGAGUACGAUCGCAAGGUUGAAACUCAAAGGAAUUGACGGGGGCCCGCACAAGCGGUGGAGCAUGUGGUUUAAUUCGAUGCAACGCGAAGAACCUUACCUGGACUUGACAUGCAGGAGACAGCCGUAGAGAUACGGUUUCCUUCGGGUUCCUGCACAGGUGCUGCAUGGCUGUCGUCAGCUCGUGUCGUGAAAUGUUGGGUUAAGUCCCGCAACGAGCGCAACCCUUGUCCUUAGUUGCCAUCAGGUAAUGCUGGGAACUCUAAGGAGACUGCCGGUGUCAAACCGGAGGAAGGUGGGGAUGACGUCAAGUCCUCAUGGCCCUUACGUCCAGGGCUACACACGUGCUACAAUGGUCGGUACAAUGGGCAGCAAGACCGCGAGGUGGAGCGAAUCCCAAAAAGCCGGCCUCAGUUCGGAUCGUAGUCUGCAACUCGACUACGUGAAGCUGGAAUCGCUAGUAAUCGCGCGUCAGCAUGGCGCGGUGAAUACGUUCCCGGGCCUUGUACACACCGCCCGUCAAGUCAACCGAGUUGGUUGCACCCCAAGUCGCUGAGCUAACCCUUCGGGGAGGCAGGUGCCCA